UUGUUGUUAUUAUUAUUAUUCAAAAUAAAUAAUCAUAUGUCAUGCUUUAAAUAACUUACAUUAUCAUGAUUUCAGACGAAGGUCAACACAUAAGACAUAAAAUUAAGAUCUUAUUAGCUUUGAUAUCACGUUGAAGAACACUCAAUGCAGUUAUUCCAGGCAUAACAAAAACACGAUAAUCUAAUUCAUAAUUCAUAUCCUUGUGUUCUGUUAUAAGAUGCAUCACCCUUGUGAUGAUCGUCGGAAUAUGCCAAGAAUUCUUCAAAUGGUGUAUUGCACCAGAAACAUCACUGCUUGAGUUGCCUUCUAGCUAAAGCUGGAGCCUUUUUAGGGAUGUAGACCUUGUAGCUUACCUGGGCCAGGAAAAGAGUAAAUAAAUACAGAAAAUAACUAGGUGCAUAAACAAAUAAACGUUACUCACUGCUCAGAGGUUUCGAAACUGCUUAAGGAAUCCGUGAAAGAUUACAGUACUUACCUGUACCGUUUCCCCACCCCGCAUCACAGACAUUGUCUCCUGCUCCAAUUGUGAACCCUCCUUACCAUCAUCUUGCACUUUAUUUGAGCUUAUAUCUCUUGCUUCAGAUGCGAGGUGAGAAGAAGGCUCAGCAGAAGUAGAACAAGAGGCAUUAUUAACUGCGUCACAGUGCCCACUGCCCUUCAUUGUUGUCACUGAAGACACUACCUUCUUUUCCAACUGUAAGCCCUCCUUACCUUCAUCUUGCAAUUUAUUCAAGCCAACAUCUUCUCCUGUAGGUGCAAAGCAAGAUGAAAGCUCGGCAGAAGAAACAUCAGAGGUGUUGUUAACUUUGUCACUGUUAUCAUUGCCGCUUAGAGGAGUCACAUUAAGCUUACCAACACUUCUCACACUCGAUGGUUUUGCCUCAUUAGGUAUCCGUGAAGCAGGCACCUCCACUGCAACAGUGGUAGAAAUUGAUAAUGCUUGCUUCAAUGCGGAUGUAACCAACCUUGGUUUGUUAGUACCAGAGCCAAAAGUCAUACUGACCUUUUCCCUGCCUGGAACAGCCACGUGGUUGGGUAGAUGAGCAUUAUUCUUAACAGGAACAUAUUCACUGCGACCAUUCUUUCCAUCAACAAUCUUCUCAUCUUUUUGCAUAGAAUUAGCAGAAUUUCUCCCAACUACUAAAGCACCAUCAUCCUUGAGGGACUCAGUUUCACUUACUUCAGCCUUUGUAGUGGACGGUGACUUCAAAGUACCAUCAUUCAUAUCUUUCUGAUUAACAUCAUUCUUUGCAUUUGUCUGAAACCCUCCAUGGAACCUUCUUAGAUUCUCCAAAGCCUUUUGUCUUAAAAUUGACUACAAAUCAUUACCAUUCACAUUACCAGAAGCUUCAGACUUGUCACCAUUCUUUUCCUCUGUAGUAUCAUUUGUCCCAACCCCGCCACAAGCAGGUUCACUUCUCACAUACUGGUCAACUCCUUUGUAAUUUGUCUGUGAGUUUGAUGGUCUUAAUGAUCAAAACAGAAGCAUCUUCUCGUUUCUCAAUCUCCAUUGACCUUUUCUUAUCAAAUGCAACAUGUGAUUGAUGAGCUGACACCAUUGUAUUUCCCCCAUCAUUACUAUCAUUGCUUUUGCUAGAUGGGUAAUCAUUAUGAUCAUAUAUCAGCUCCUCUUUAUGCUCAUCCCAAUCCAACUCUCUUCUCUCCUCAUCCUCCUUUGUGAGGGUGAUAACUGAUCUCAGCCGCCUUGAAAUGUUCCCACCAGUCACUUUCUCCUCACUCCAAUAAUCACCACUUCCAUUAUGUCUACUACAAGAAGAACAACUCCUUGAUCUAUAUCUACUCCUUUUAGUUCCACUCUUAACUUUCUUCAGUUUUCUUGUAUCGUUGUCUCUUCUUUCAGACCUGCCCCUAUGGUUCUCAUAUUCACUCUCAUCACUACUACUACUUGAACUCCGACAAGUUGAACAACUCCAAGACCCACUGCUCCUAGAACUAUUACUUGCAUUUCUCCUAGAUUUCUUCUUUUUCUUGUUCCUAGUUUUUUUCUUCCUUGCCUUAGAAUCAUCAUUUCUCCUUGACCCUUUCUGCUUUCUCAAGCAACAAGACUCCUCACUGCCAGAAGAACAAGAGUAAGAGCGAGCCCUCCUUUUAGUCCCCUUCACAUCCUUGCGAGUGAAAGACCUAGAUUGAGACCUUCUACCUAGGUAAGUAUCCUCAGAACUGGAGGAAAUGGAUAAUGGACUUCUUGAAUCAUCUCUAGAAUAAGAAACUGAACCGUCCUGACGCCGAAGCUUCUUUGAUCUACUUCUCUUAGUCUUACUUCUCUUAGUCUUACUUCUCUUCUUUGUUCGACCCUGAGAGGAAUAUUUGGAGCGCUUCCUUUUACCAGAAAAAGAUUUUCCCAUUUCGCUCUCUCUCUCUCUCUCUCUCU
rnacentral:misc_RNA from 1 species